GACCACCACUAAGGUAGCAUCACUUUCUGCAGAUUGCUCUUUUGUGGAGUUUUUGUGGUGAGCAUUCAUCUCAACUGAAAGCUUCAGCAAUGGGGCAAUAGAUAGAUGCAAGUACAGACUGGGAGAAGAACUCCUUGAAAGCAGCCUUGAGGAGAAGAAUUUGGAGGGGGGACCUGCUGGACAAAAAGCUGGACUUGAGCCAGCAGUGUGCUGCUGCAGCUUGGAAGGCGAACAGUAUCCUGUUCUGCAUUAACAGGGGGGUGGCAGCAGAGAGAAGGAGAGGAUUGUCUCCUUCUUUUCUGCACUUGUGAGACUCCAUCUGGAGUGCUGUGUCUAGGUCUGGGACCCCCAGUACAGGAAGGGCUUGGAUCUGUUGGUGUGCCCAGAGGAGUGUCACAGGGAUGAUCGGAGGGCUGGAGCAGCUCUCCAACAAAGAGAGGUUAAGGGAGUUGGGCUUGUUCACUGCUUACAGCAUUUGAUUGUGAAACCCCCUGCACCUUUGACUCAGUGGAUGCAGCUCCAUCUGCAGCAGCAACGUUGUUUCACGCCUUCCAUCCCACCGAGCCACCCGGUUCUCCGGCUCCUCUCCAUGUCCCCCGGCAGCCGUCGGCCGGCAGCGCCCCGCCGCGGGCUGGGGGAGCCGGGGCCGGGCUCUAUGCAAGAGGUGGGGUGGGGGGGACGCAGGGUUUGCAGACUGUGUGGCUGCCUCCGGAGCUGGAAGGCGGAGCGUGGCCGGGACCUGCUUCGCCGAUGGGAAACCGUGCGUCCUGCGUCUCUGCGUGGAUCUCCGUGCGUGGUACCGCGCCAACGUGGAGCAUGUAAAGCUGGCAAACCAAAUAGCCCUGGAGCCUUCUAGUUGACAGCAGCAUCAUGCAGGUUCAACUCCACUGACCUCAGUAAAUCAGCAUAAACCAAAGAUCCAGGUAGGUCCAAAGUUUUGGGGUGGAGUAACGUUGGAUAAUGUAGAUCUGCGUACUGAAAAAGCCACCUAGUGCUCAGUGGAAUUGUUUCCUGCCCUAAAUUCCUACCAAUGACAGCAACUCAGGUCUUCUCUGCAUGUCACUAUAGACAGGGCUGCUACCAUCCACACUGUGCAUAGCAGGUUCUGCACAGCAGAAGCAGUCAGUGAACGCGAGCAGCAGCUAAUCAUGAGAUCACUGCCAUGAAACAUCUUGAUGAGCGUGAACGUGGGCACUGUAACUUCCACAUCAGAGCUGAUUGCAGAGGUUCUUUCUUUAGUUGGCGGAAAGAAAUGAGUUCAUUUCUCCUCUUCCUAAAGUGGGUUUCUAAAUAGGUCAGUUGAGCUGGGCUCUAAAUGAGUGCAUUAUUUAUGGCUGUUGCAGGUGGUGCCUGUUAUGUUCAGAUGUGGGUGACCCUGGUGGAUAUCUAAAGCUUAGCCAGAUGUAUCUGGCUGUACUGUUUUCUUAGCAUCUAAGCAUAACUGGAAAUUCCCAUUUGACUUAUAGCUUUUUCUGCUGUAACAUAAAUCAUGGCUAUGUCACCUCCAUACCUUCCUGAAGUUCUAUUAGUCUUGUAAUAGCAGUUAAGCAACUUGAAUGACAGGAAGACAGUAAACCCACCUUAAUUCUUUAUCAUUAAAAAGAAAAACUCUUAUGUCAUUUUAGAAGCAAGUUUAGGUCUCUUAACUCAGUGGUAGAAUAUGAGAAGCUUAGAUGUCCUCUGAACCUCUCAAGCUUAUUAGAAUAUUUUUGACUUGAUGGUGAGCCUUCCUUGGAAGGUGUUUAGAAACUGAAGGCUUAAUUAUGUUUUACAUUGAGGCACAAAUGAUGGAAGUGAUGCAGCAGGUUGUAAGGUUCAAUGCUAAGCAUGUGCAUGAUACUUAAAUUAUUUGGGAAGCCACGUGAACUGAAAUGAGAGAACUGUGCUGGGUGUAAUGCAUGUAUGAAAUGCGUUAUGGAUAAACUAUGUGAAUGACUCACUAAAUGGAUGUUUCAUGUAAUGAUAAAUAUCUUGUUUGCAGAAUUUCCCCACCUCAGGUAAGCUAGAAGAGUUUCCUGGUGGUUUUCAACAUUAGAAAUCAAAUCCUGUUCUCAUCACCUCAUCCCAAGUGGUUACUAAAGCAGUACCUGUAUUUACGUAUGUAUAUGUGUAUGUUCUAUAUAUGUGUAUAUGGAGAGAAGGAAAUAUAUAUUCAGUUGGGAUCCAAACCCGUUUUUGGAUAAAAUAGGUUUGAGUCUGUGUGCACAAAGCUGUUCCUUGGAUUGAAUUGCAAGUGAAAGCUGGUAAUUAGUGGGAUUCUGGUGGGGCUGCUAUGCACAAAAAGGAAGCAGAAAUCAAUAUUGUGCUUUGCUGUACUCAGUCAAAUGAAAUAAAAAUAAAAGGAGACCCUGGGGGGCUGUACAGCAUUGCUCUGACUAUGCUAGUCAGAAUCCUUUUUGACAGCUCUUCUAGGUCUUAGUGUGUAAAGAUAUUGAAUCUAAAGAGAUGUGCCCCAUGUAAGGACAAGAGGGAAGGCUUUGGUUGCAACUGGGCAUCAAUAUUUGGAUCAAUAUUUGGUCCGCUGAGUGUUAGAACCAAAACUGCAGGGGGCGGGGGAACACCGAACAAAUUACGAGUAGGUGUACAAGCUUUGAAUUGGUUAAUCUUCCUGUUUAAAACAAAUGUGAUUAUUGAUGUCCCAGGAGGAAGGAGUUAAACAAGAGCUUUACUGAUUUAAGGUUGGGGUGCAUCAUCUUUCUUCAGCGUGCCAUGCAGUUAAUUUGUAUUACUUAGCUCUAAAUUAACUUGUGGAGAACUCAGUAGCUUGAUAGCAGUACCUGUGUUUGAUUUGUGGAAAUUGUCUUGAAGUAUCUUACAAGGGGACACAAUUACAUUCCUCAAUAUUUAGGUAGAAGGAAGGAUGGAUUAUCAACUUAAAGUGUUCCUUCUGUUAUAGUUGCUCUGUAAAUAAUCAUCUGUUUCCUGUAGUACUGCAGGAACCACUCUGCAACCCAACCAAGAUCAGUAUGUGGAGGCUGGCUAUUCAUGUCUUGCUGGGGACCAAAGUCCACCCUGUCACUCUGUCUGCUCUGUGUGGCUGCAGCCUUCAGUGCUGCUGGUGGGGGACUGUGCGGGGGACCCAUACGGGAUACAUGAGCAUGGGGAUAAGGAAAGUGGAGGCUCCAGAUGCGGAGCACCUCAUCCGUGUGCAGUGGGAGGAUGAGAGUGAGAGCCAGUACCCCUGUGUCUGGCUGCGGGACAACUGCCAGUGCCCCCAGUGCUUCCUGCGCUCUGCCAAGGCCCGCAAGCUGCUCUUUGAGGACCUGGAUGUUGACAUCGUGGCUAAGGAAAUCACUCUGACACACAGGAAGAAGGUAAGGAUGUUCAUCGUAAUCUGUAGAAAGGGUACCGGUCUGCAUGCUGAUACUUUCUGAUGUAUAUGUAUACUGAUCUUUAAGUGUGCAGCACGCUUCAUUUUAAAGCAAGCACUCAAACCCAAGUAUAACCCAACUGGCCAGUGUCUGCAUCUUUACCUACCCAUCUGGAUUUGUUCAUCAAAAGGGGAGAUAAUUGAGCAAGACAUAACAAGAUCUGACAUUUCUGUGAACUUCAAUGUUUUCUGAUACAUGUAGCAACUCUGUCAUUUUGAUUUUAUACAUCUAUUUACUUGAAAGGGAAGUAAGUUUCAAAACCAGGGAAACAAUUUGUCUCUUAACCUUUUUUUUUUUUUUUUUUUUUUUUUUUUCCUUAGUCUCUCUUAUCCUGUUUUGCUUUUGAAAGGUGUUUUUGCUCUUCUGAGGUGUAAUGAAGUGCUCCCAUUGUUGGAAUGUGCCAGCUUCUGUGAUUCCCAGUUUCUCUUGGGCAGAGUACAUGCAGUGACAGCAGCCUUCAGAAAAUGGCCAAUUAGGUGAUGUGCUUUUGUGAAAAUAACCCUCUAUUUAAAAAAGGCAUUGGGAUUUGCGUGCUGUUCAGGUUGUGUUUUCAUCGAUUGUUUGCAGUGGCGCUAUGCAGUAGCCUGAGCUGUGAUAUUACUGAUUUUAAUAUUGCAAUGCCUGUAAUUUCUCAUUUUAUUUGGUGUUGUUGUUUCUGACAUUGCAUUUAUUUUUAUCUUACAAGUUCUCUAUCACGUGGCCUGAUGAACGCAUGAAUGAAUAUGAAGCAGAGUGGUUGAAAAAACGAUGCUUCUCUGAAGGAGCCAGAUGGUUUGGAGGCCUCAAAACGGAGUCCUGUGGAGCAGUGUUGGUUUGUGCGCUAAGGCCAAUGUGUGCUUUUUAAAAUGGCAAGGAAGUUGUAACUGAAAUAUUUCCCCUUUCCAUGGCUUUUGGUUAACAAGUAACCGUAUCUUACCAGUGCCCUGUGCUGAAGUUCUGCGUGUUUGCUCUGUCUCCUGUACCUCCUGCAUAGCAGACAGCCUUUUGGAAAGCUGCAUUUUGUGCAGCUGGCACUGUAGCACAGGUACAAGUGAUGGUUACCUGCUGCACAUCACUAACCGUUUUGUAAGAAUGAGUAGGGAACUGGUAGGUUUGCCACUAUGCACAUCCUCAUUUCUUCUUCCUUCAGCAGUCUUUCAUACUGGGUGUGUGAAAAGCAUGAAAACUGGCAGGAUUUCUGCAGUUGGCCCUGACAGUGUUCUUGUGAGUUCUGCUGCUGCAGAAAGCUGUGGAAAAGUAUUCAGAGCUAAGAUGUUAUCAGUUGAAACGGGGUCUUAUUCUAAUAAAGGGCAGAAGAGGCAGAUGGAUGGUGAGAAAUUCUGAUCCAGCUAUUGGUUUCCUUGGCAAAAGGAGAGUCUGAAGCCGGUUUAUGCUCCUGUGUUUUUUAGUGUGGGAGUUGUGUUGUUGAUUUUCUAUUGUUCUUGAGAGACUAUAAAUGCAAAAAUGUAAAACCAUAAGUAUCAUCUACUCCUUGAGCUCUGUUUGGCAUUUAGAGAUCCAGUUUUUACAGGUCACACCUUCCUUAGCUCUCAUUCUCCUAAACAAAAGUCAAUUAUUUAUAUUCAGGCUUUUGUUACUAGUGUAAGGCUUCUCCUGAUGAGUAAUAAUUCUAUUUGUUUCAGUGGAUCAUGGAACAGAUGUUUACUAGUUCCAGAGUGGAACUUCAGUCCCCCUGGUGAAUGAUGUAAAAGUGAUGUCUAUUUUUGCCUUGGCAAGAAUAAACUGCGCUGUUUACUAUGUUGGAGACUUGGACCUGUUCCCAGAGUGAGCAUGAUGAAGAUGAACUGGACUUGAUUUCCCAGGUUCUGAGUUGUCGUUUGGAGCAGUGAGGAUGCCGUGGAUGCCGUCCUUCAAAUGUGUGAGAAGAUCUGUAGUGGUUGAAGCACAGUGGAGCAGUGAUCGGAUGGCUGUGGAGCGGUCUCCAUGAGGAAUUUUAUGAGGUGAGACUGUGUGUCUCCUGAGGGCACACUUCAUUUUGUAGCAUGUUUUGAGAUUAAACGGCUUGUCAGUUGCACUGCAGCUUCUUUGAGACAUGGGAUGGAGCAUAAAAGAUGGACUGUGCGAGCAGCUUUCAUUUGGGCACGCACAUUGUUUCUUGGACAGUCUCUAACCAGCCUAAGCCAGAACAGUAAGGAAUAGGAGCGGUUGGAAAUUUGCAGACUUAGCAGCUGUUGUGAAUGUUAACUGUGUAGCACUGGGAUUCACAUUGUUAUGAAUCUUGCAUUUUGUCCUGUUCCAUUUUUUUGCAAUGCAACGUGUCCCUCCGUGACCAUGUGAAAUCCACCAGAGCUCCCAUGCUGCAGGCUGCUCUUGGGGCUUGUAGUGGUUGUUAUCAGUGCCGUCUGUCAAAGGAGCUGGGCAGCAAACAGAGCUGGGUGUGGUUUAUAAACGAUGCCAUCUGUGUUUUCCUGUGGUCUCAUUUCUGACUGAUGAUCAGAAAUGAUUGUUGGCUAAAGUGUUAAGGAAGUUAGGCGGGGAAUUUAAACAAUUACUUUGUUAAAUACUUAGAAAUCUAUUAGUGUUUUGUUGUGCACUCUGUAAUGAAUUAUCAGCUUCAGACUAAACAAGCAGAAUCAAUAUUGUCUUAACUGUAAGAACAGGACUCUGAUUUAAGAGAGUUAUUGCCAUUGAACUAGCCUCUAUAAGUUUUGUAAUAAAAUAGUCAGGCAAGAUGUCUGUGAAACAAAAAGAGAGCACUGUUGUCCUGUCCGCCCAUUGCUGUGCAGCAACUUUGGUUUGAAGAUGUUUGUUUGUACAUACAAACCCAGUAACUGGACAGCUUAUGAGACUUACAAAUGGAACUUAGCCCAUAGAGGUGGUGGAUGCCCCAUCCUUGGUGACAUUCAAGGUCAGGCUGGAUGGGGCUCUGAUGGAGCUGUAGAUAUCCCUGUUCACUGUGGUGGAGUUGGGCCAGGUGGCCUUUAAAGGUCCCUUCCAACUCAGAUGAUUCUGUGAUUCUAUUAUCCUAGUCUAUGAAAUCAGUGAGAAAAGAGUACGGAGACAGACAGUGUGGCACUGCAGGGAGUGUAACUCUGAAAUAAGUCUUUUGCGCAGGAGAGAAAGAAAUCAGCCUGCACUGACAUCUGUGUCCACAGUCACCUCAAGCUUGUGGCCAGGUGGGUCUGUCUGAGUGGUGUUUGGUGUCUGUGACCAGUACAGCUUUUCCAGUGGAGCUGACAGAUCUCACCUCAUUACCUCAUUUUGCAGUCAACUUCCGCAGUAAUUAAUAAGCCACAAAAAAGGCUAAAAGAUGAAAGAACUACAGUUCAUACAAAAGGAUCUGGGACGUCUGUCUCACUGUGGUGCCUUCGCUCCUCUAAACAGUGAAGCCUGGACAAUUCCUACGCUGUGGCCAUUGGAAUCCAUGAGAACAUCAUGCCAUCCUGGGGCAUUUUUAAAAGUUUCUGGGCAAUGUGUGUUUGCUGUGCCGUGACAGUUAGUGUUAAUUUCUGUACAUUAGAAUACAGAGCAAUGUGACCAAAAAAGCAGCGCAGAGGAUAAUUGCAGCAGAACAGGUCCAUCUAGUGGCCAGUGGGAGGCAAUGCAGAUCACGCUGGCUUAAUUUCAGCACAUAUAAUCAUGAUUGGGUCUACACAGCAGCUUUCUCUCAGGUGUACAGGCAGCCACUUAUUGUGGCUAUUUUAAACUCUGAGCAAAGAAGCAAAUAAAUAGAAGAACAGUUCCAUGGGCCCACACUGUGCAGUGCUGAGGCUUGUUCUCUUCAGUCAUUUCAACCAGGGCUGAAAAUCACCAGUAGGUAAGUACAAAAUACAAUGCUCAGUUAUGGAUUUCUGUGCCUUGUGCCAGUAGCACAGACAAAUUUAAUUAAAGUUAACAGCUUAAACAGCUGCAAGACUCCAGCAAGUGUCCUGGUGAGAAGCUGCGCUUUGGGCUCCGUGAUUAAUUUCCUGUCUUUUCACUUUCCGUCUGCAUUGCUGUUCCCUUGAGGUCUUGGCUAAACACACUGCAGCCAUUAGAAAUGAGGUUGUAUCUACUUUAGUUUUGUCUUGCAAAAUUGGUCCUGUCAGGGAUAGUUUGGAAAGAUACCACCUUUUAUUAUUAUUAUUAUUAUUAUUUUUAUUUUUAUUUUUAUUUUUAUUUUUAUUUUUAUUUUUAUUUUUAUUUUAUUUUAUUUUUGAAGUGAUCUUGGCCUAGGAAUAUUGUGGACAAAGUGAAGAUAGUCACGCUGAUCAGUGGUUAUUGUGUGUAUUUUUGUUUGUUUGUUUUGUCUGCAGUAAUGAAUUGCCACAGCACUACUUUGUACCAAAGGAAGUUAAUUUGGUUUUGCAAAUGGCAGCUGUAUGUUCAUAACAUGUGAGCAACUUUCAUACACUAGGAAGUAUGAAAGCACUGACCCUCCUUAGCUAAGCCAAUGUAGAAGCUUUGGCAGGGCUGCGUUACUCACGUUUCAGUUGUUGUAGGUAGGUAUUGCCAAGGAGAAUGUCUGCUGAGGUGGAUGGAGUGUUCCAAAGUUACAAGCAAGUGAAACAUUCAUAGAUAUGCAAGGUGGCAUCAGUGACAGCCACACCAAAGAUCCCUGAAAUACCAGGCCAUCCCGGUAGAGAGGUUUAACGUAGAAAGAAUUGUAACUAAUACUGUCUACCCAGUAUCUUUCCUUAGCAGAACUGCUGGAGAACAAGUUUUCCAUGACUGCUUUGAAACAACUGAAGCUGUGCAUUCCAGCCGGUCGGACCUGAAGGAUGAACCCUUAGAAGAUGCAGAAGUUCCUGGUUUCCCGACAGCUGCAGUUUUGUGAGACAAGGAGGCUGCAAGGCAGGAUAUGCAGUAACUGUUACUGAGCAGGUAAUGGAAGCACUACCAUCAGCUGUGGGGACUUCCCCUCAGAAGGCUGGAAUAACUGCCAUGACUAGAGCCUUAAUUAUAUGGACAGAUGCUAAAUAUGUAUUUGGGGUACCACACGCUCAUGGUACCAUCUGAAAAGAGCAAGGAUUUCUCACACACAAGGAAAACAUCAUGAUGUAAAUCUACCAAUGGCUAUUAUAUGUUGUAAAGGACAUCAGAAAGGCAACACUGUACAGGAAAUAGGGAAUAAGAUGAUGGGUCAGGUGGCAGAACAGGCAGUUGAAGAAGGUUUCAGUUCCAGACGGUAAACUUAAAAUCUCUGAACCCAAGUCAAAACCUGU